CAACUCGGCCCUUCUAUGGCUGACUUGUGGUACGAGUGUAGCAGAAAAUGGUACCUGAGAUCAUGAAUAUGGAUCACGAAGGGAGAAAAGCUGAUAGCCCCAGGAAGCAGCAGACAUAAAAAAGAAAGAAGAGGGUGUAGAAACCUGAAGCAGCAAUAAAGAGGGGAAAGAACAACUAAAGGGAGUUUAGCAUAGAGCAGCGGUGCCAGUGCUGGAAUGAAGGCUGCCUUGCUGGACUUCAGGUCCCCUGUCCCUCAGCUUUCCAGUGGUUUCUGUGUCUCCAAACCAGAUGUCUGUAUCAUGGUCAAUGAAGUCCUCCACAGCCCAGCCAUUGACU